UACAGAGGGUGCGAGCGUUAAUCGGAAUUACUGGGCGUAAAGCGUGCGUAGACGGUUAUGUAAGUCGGGUGUGAAAGCCCCGGGCUCAACCUGGGAAUUGCAUUCGAGACUGGAUAGCUAGGGUGCGGAAGAGGGAAGCGGAAUUUCAGGUGUAGCGGUGAAAUGCGUAGAGAUGUGGAGGAACACCGAUGGCGAAGGCAGCCUCCUGGGCCAGCACUGACGCUCAUGCACGAAAGCGUGGGGAGCAAACAGG
rnacentral:rRNA from 1 species